rnacentral:rRNA from 1 species
UACGGGGGGGGCAAGCGUUGUUCGGAAUUACUGGGCAUAAAGGGCUCGUAGGCGGCCAACUAAGUCAGACGUGAAAUCCCUCGGCUUAACCGGGGAACUGCGUCUGAUACUGGAUGGCUUGAGUUUGGGAGAGGGAUGCGGAAUUCCAGGUGUAGCGGUGAAAUGCGUAGAUAUCUGGAGGAACACCGGUGGCAAAGGCGGCAUCCUGGACCAACACUGACGCUGAGGAGCGAAAGCCAGGGGAGCAAACGGG